GACGAACGCUGGCGGCGUGCCUAACACAUGCAAGUCGAGCGGAGAUGAUGCGAGGAAGCUUUCGGAUGGAAUCGUAUUAUUUUAGCGGCGGACGGGUGAGUAACGCGUGAGCGACCAACCUUGCACAGGGGGAUAACGGACCGAAAGGUUCACUAAUACCGCAUGAGACCACGGUGUUGCAUGACACAGGGGUCAAAGGAGGAAUCCGGUGCAAGACGGGCUCGCGUCCGAUUAGGUAGUUGGUGGGGUAAAGGCUCACCAAGCCAAUCAUCGGUAGCCGACCUGAGAGGGUGAUCGGCCACAUUGGAACUGAGAGACGGUCCAAACUCCUACGGGAGGCAGCAGUGGGGAAUAGUGGGCAAUGGGGGGAACCCUGACCCAGCAACGCCGCGUGAAGGAAGAAGGUUUUCGGAUUGUAAACUUCUGUCCUUGGUGAAGAGAAGAAGACGGUAGCCGAGGAGGAAGCCCCGGCUAACUACGUGCCAGCCGCCGCGGUAAAAC
rnacentral:rRNA from 1 species